UCCUACGGGAGGCAGCAGUGGGGAAUCUUGGACAAUGGGCGAAAGCCUGAUCCAGCAAUGCCGCGUGCGUGAAGAAGGCCUUCGGGUUGUAAAGCGCUUUUGUCUGGGAGCAAAUCCUGGCCUCUAAUACAGGUCGGGGAUGAGAGUACCAGAAGAAUAAGGACCGGCUAACUACGUGCCAGCAGCCGCGGUAAUACGUAGGGUCCAAGCGUUAAUCGGAAUUACUGGGCGUAAAGCGUCCGCAGGUGGCUUGAUAAGAUAGACGUGAAAUCCCUGGGCUCAACCUAGGAAUUGCGUUUAUGACUGUCUCGCUAGAGUAUGGGAGAGGGGGGUGGAAUUCCACGUGUAGCAGUGAAAUGCGUAGAGAUGUGGAGGAACACCGAUGGCGAAGGCAACCCCCUGGCCUAAUACUGACACUCAUGGACGAAAGCGUGGGGAGCAAACAGGAUUAGAUACCCUGGU
rnacentral:rRNA from 1 species